CAAGGUUCAGAGCAACACAGCUGCAGCUGAAAUCCUGGAUGAAGGUGGAAGGAAAGCUCUGAAGGGGAGCGGCCUGCAGGUGAGACCCCACCUGUGAAGGGGAGCGGCCUGCAGGUGAGACCUCACCUUAGAAACGCAGCAGCCUGCAGGUGAGACCUCACCUUAGAAACGCAGCGGCCUGCAGGUGAGACCCCACCUGUGAAGGGGAGCGGCCUGCAGGUGAGAUCCCACCUUAGAAACGCAGCAGCCUGCAGGU